AGCGAACAUUGGCGGUAGGCUUAACACAUGCAAGUCGAGCGAGGCGUAAUAGUCGAGCGGCGAACGGGUGAGUAAUACAUGGGAAUCUACCUUGGAGUGGGGGAUAACAGCCAGAAAUGGCUGCUAAUACCGCAUAAUCCCGAGAGGGGAAAGCGCGCUGCGCUCCAAGAUGAGCCCAUGGCUGAUUAGCUAGUUGGUGGGGUAAAGGCCUACCAAGGCGACGAUCAGUAGCUGGUCUGAGAGGAUGAUCAGCCACACUGGAACUGAGACACGGUCCAGAAUCCUACGGGAGGCAGCAGUGGGGAAUCUUGCGCAAUGGGGGCAACCUUGACGCAGCCAUACCGCGUGUGCGAUGAAGGUCUUCGGAUUGUAAAGCACUUUCAGUAGGGACGACGAUGACGGUACCUACAGAAGAAGCCCCGGCUAACUUCGUGCCAGCAGCCGCGGUAA
rnacentral:rRNA from 1 species